CCCCCCCCCCCCCAAAAAAAAAGGUCUGUGCACGCCCCUGAUAUUGCAUAUGAUUCCUAAAAACAGGGCCUUGUGGAACUGCCAAGUACAGUUCAGGAGUCUUCAGCAGGUCCAAUGUGUUUCAUCUACUGAUAAAUACUAUUGGGUCUGAGUGUUCGUAGUGUAUCUUCACAGGGACUGUGUGUGUGUAUUGUGUGAGAUUCCUUGCCAAUAGUGUCACUUGUAUGAUAGUAUAUGGGCCGAUGCUCAGACAAACAGGAAGUAUUCAGACAAACAGGAAGUAUUCAGACAAACAGGAAGUAUUCAGACAAACAGGAUGUAUUCAGACAAACAGGAUGUAUUCAGACAAACAGGAUGUAUUCAGACACACAAUAUGUAUUCAGGCAAACAGGAUGUAUUCAGACAAACAGGAUGUAUUCAGACAAACAGGAUGUAUUCAGACAAACAGCAGAAUGUAUUCAGGCAAACAGGAAGUAUUCAGACAAACAGGAUGUAUUCAGACAAACAGCAGAAUGCAUUCAGGCAAACAGGAUGUAUUCAGACACACAGCAGAAUGUGUUCAGACAAACAGGAUGUAUCCAGACAAACAGUAGAAUGUAUUCAGGCAAACAUGAUGUAUUCAGGCAAACAGGAUGUAUUCAGACAAACAGGAUGUAUUCAGACACACAAUAUGUAUUCAGGCAAACAGGAUGUAUUCAGACAAACAGGAUGUAUUCAGACACACAAUAUGUAUUCAGGCAAACAGGAUGUAUUCAGGCAAACAGGAUAUAUUCAGACAAAUAGGAUGUAUGCAGACUGUCACGCCCUGACCUUAGAUAUCUCUGUUUUUCUAUAUAUUUUGGUUAGGUCAGGGUGUGACUAGGGUGGGUCUUCUAGUUUUUGUAUGUCUAGUGUUUUUGUUUGUCUAGGUGUUUUUGUAUGUCUAUAUUUGCCUGAUAUGGUUCCCAAUCAGAGACAGCUGUUAAUCUUUGUCUCUGAUUGGGGAUCAUAUUUAGGUAGCCAUAUUCCUCAUUUGUGUUGUGGGAUCUUGACUAUGUUUAGUUGCCUGUCUGCACUAAUUUGUAUAGCUUCACGUUUCGUUCGUUGUUUUUGUUGUUUUUGUUGUUUUUUGUUAAGUGUUUUCAUUCAUUAAAAGAGAAUGUACGCAUCACACGCUGCGCCUUGGUCUCACUCAUACGACGAUCGUGACACAGACAAACAGGAUGUAUUCAGUGUAGCAGAAGAAUCCUGAAGUCUCACACGGAGAAAGGAGGGGGGAGGGGCCUAACCAGACGGAGGGUCAAACACUAGCCACAGGCAAGAACAAAAAAACAUUUCCUUCUGUUAAAGAAAGGGUGAUGCUCCUUUCCAACUGAUGAUAAUAGGAAUAUAGACAAUGGCGAAGGUGAUUUGAUAAAACACCAAGAUGGUUUACACGGAAAAGUCUACAGACACACAAGGAAAAAUACACACACAUAAUGAAACCUCUUUUCCGGAACUUGACAUAUGGUGCACACAAUUUCCUUCUCAAUUUCAGAUCCAACUCCCACUGACAUCCUCGUGUGCCGGGCAAAUUGCCACUCACCCCCUCCCUCCCUUCCAUUCACUCUUUCUGAAAGUCAUCUGCUCGCUAAGCAGUAAGCAACAUCUCGGCCCGCUCGCCGAAAUGAGAGCCUACAAAUGAUUUGUGGCACGGCCGUCCCGAUGGCAGCCGAGGAGGAGGAGG
rnacentral:lncRNA from 13 species